GUGUCAAAGAAGGGAAGUUCUUGGACUUCUGCAACCCCAAGCUUUUUCAACCCUAAGGCAAAGACGCCAGCAAGACCAUGAACACGUUGGGCAAUAGAUUUUAGACCUGCAGGUCCAUGGUAAACAGCAUACAUGGCAGCCAUGUUGGCAAGCAACGCCUGUAAGAAAAGGAAAAAACAUACACAAAAUGUCAGAGUAAGAGGAAAAGAUGAAGUUCUCAUCAGCAUGAAUCAAUAUAAUAUAUCAUCUAAUUAUCAGCGCGAACUAAGUAAUCAGAUAGUAAGAAGUGAUUACUUACUUGAGCAGUACAGAUGUUGCUAGUGGCUUUGUCCCUCCUAAUAUGCUGUUCUCUAGUCUGCAUAGCCAUACGCAGAGCUUGCUUUCCUGAAGAAUCAACACUAACACCGAUAAUCCUCCCUGGCAUCAUUCUCUUAUACUCUUGUGAAGUAGCCAAGAAAGCGGCAUGAGGACCACCAUAACCCAUGGGAACACCAAACCUUUGAGCGGAACCAACCACAAUAUCGGCCCCCAAUUCUCCAGGGGGUUUCAACAUAGUCAAAGCCAGCAAAUCCGUAGCCAUCACAACCUUAACACCAUUAGCAUGAGCAGUCUUGACAAACUCAGCAUAAUCCAAGACCUCACCUUCAGUUCCAGGGUACUGGACAAGAACCCCACAAACAUCACCAGAGCUGUAAUCUAUAUCCUUGAGAUCAGCGGAGAGAACUUUGAGAUCAAACCCACCGGCUCUAGUCUUGCAGAUAUCAAUAGUCUGAGGGUGACAGUUACUAGCAAUGAGAAAGGUCUUCUUUUUACCCUUUUGAAUGUUGUUACACAUGGCCAUAGCCUCGGCAGCCGCAGUCCCUUCAUCGAGGAGCGAAGCGUUCGACAUGGGAAGCCCCGUGAGGUCGGUGAUGACCGUCUGGAAAUUGAGCAGCGAUUCGAGACGACCCUGAGAGAUCUCAGCUUGAUAAGGAGUGUACUGAGUGUACCAAGCUGGGUUCUCCAUAAUGUUACGGAGAAUCACAGGAGGGACAUACGUGUUGUAGUAACCCAUCCCAAUAAAGGAUUUGAAAAUCUUGUUCUUGGAAGCCAAAUCAACCAUGUGCUCGAUCAUUUGGCUCUCGGUUAGACCUCCGUCGAAUUUGGAGAACUUCAUGGAGUCUAAUCGAAUAGAUUUGGGAACCGUAGCGUCGACGAGUGAAUCGAUAUGAUCAAAGCCACAGAACUUGGCCAUAUGGCUCUGCUCAUCUGGUGUUGCCGAGUUGUGACGACGCGGGAAGGUGUCGCCAGGUUGAAGAGCCUCGACGGAGAUGGGACGCGUCUGCUGGUGGGAGUGGUGCCUCCCGAAUGACGCGGGGGAUCGAUGGGUGGAGACGAAAGGGGAAAGAGAAGAGACAUACCUCGCCGGAGCGUGGGGAACAACAAGGUGGGGAGUUUCGGGGUUGCGGUGUCGUUUAGCCUCGUUAACGAGACGCUUGACGAUGCCUCGGUAAGCAAGUCUCCUUGCGCGCUCCAUGACUGGGUUGCACUCAGAAAACUUUAAAAAAUAAAAAACGCAGAGCGAAAGAGUAGAUUAGAUGUGUGAGGUUGAGGAAGAUGAAGGAUAGAUAUGUCUUGCUUUUUUAGUAUAUCGUAGCCAUGGAUGGUGGAGGGAAUCUGAGAGAUGAGAUGAGAUGAGAUAGAGAGAGUAUAUAAUACACACACACACACUCUCACUCACGGACCGUUGUAAAAAGAAAAAUGCGAAUGAAUGAAUGUAUAUGACGACGUCCUUAGACCAAAAUAAAGUGUGUUUAUUAUAUAGUCGAAAAUUUUCGGGAUAUUCUUUGCUCUUUUUUCUUUCUUUUGUAAGAAAAUCAGAAAAUCGCGUGGCUCUCUGUGGUUAAUGGUGAAGCUCGAGAUGGGGUUGGUGAAAAGCAUUGAGCCAAUUUGUAUUUUGUACUUAUUCCACGUGUUUUGCAUCUAAUCACUCGUACAAUAUUGUGAUAAUCUUUUGUUUUUGUUUUUUUUUUUUAAUUAUCUCUUAAUUAUUUUGUUUAUUGGUUUAGCAUUUUCCUCCAAACUAUAUAGAUUUUUAAUUACCAGCAAUAAUACAGUUUGUAGCUAGCUAGUACAAAAACUAUUAGGAGAGUAUAUGAUGUUUAAAAAUAGAAUUUUAGUGUACUUAAUAUAGCUUUCAAAUCCUAGUACUGUAAUAUAUUACAUGAUGAAGUUUUGUAAAGCCUAAUCAAUAAUUAAAACUUUUAUAUUGUGCCGUGUUUUGAUUAACGUACGUUUCGAGAUUAAUAAAUUCCGGAAAAUAUAUAAUUUAUAUUACCGUUUUUGGCCUAACUAAAAAUAUAUCUGGCCAGCAAAUCCUUACGAUAAUUACAGGAAUGAGUACUUUACGUAAAAAUGCUGUAAGAACAUCUCGAGAUAAAAUUUGAAAGGAAGAGAACUGAGGUGGAAGAGAUUGGGUAUCAGUGGACAAAAAUGUUUGUCACCUUUAUCAAAAAACCAAAAAAAAAAAAAUAUCGGAAAGAUAUAUAGCAACAAAUCAAUAUUAUAUGGCAAAGAUGAUAUAAUUAUUUUGGAUCACAUGAAUAUAUAAGAUAAACUAGGUGGCGGAAUGUGUUUCACAGAGAGUUUAUCUCAAAAAAAAAAAGAGAACUUUUGAAAAUAAAAAAAUAAAUAUUAGGGUUCGUCUUUUUCUUCAUCAUACAUGGGAACCAUCAUCGUCCUCUAACAUCUAAAUAUAUUAUUCGACAGAUAAUGAAAUAUUCUCGUUUUUUGACCUUCCAAGAAAAAUAAACCUCAAGACUUCCUUUCCUUUUGGAAAACGUAUGUUAUUCAUAAAUUUAGUUCGAACGCUUUCAUUUGUUGUUAAAGCUAAGGGUAUUCAUAAUUAUAUUACAAAAACGGAAUACACAAAGCUGUGAUUCAUGAAUUAUACAGCGUCUUUAGAGUUCAAACUAGUAGCUAGAGAGGUGAUUUAUGAUGUAUUUUAAACUAAUUAUAAGUACAUGAUCAUGUAAAAUUAAAGUCUAAAAGUUAGUAUAUAAUAUGGUAUCGUUGAUAAAGAUGAAUAGAGAUGAACUUUUACAUACGAUGUAUAGGCACGCUCGAUCGAUCACUCCAAGUCCCUGAACUUGGUACAAAAACGAAAAGCUCUAUGGUCACUUAUGAAGGCCUAGGGUUAAUGGUGUUUCAAAACUUUCUUUUGUUUUCUGGUCCAGCCAAUUCGGAUUCAUCAGUUGCAUGUACAAUCUAUUUUUUUCGUUACCAGCUAAAAAAAAAAAGGUUUAAGAAAGAUUGGACAGCGAAAAAUUGCUACCGAGUUAACAUCGUCAAAACGCCAUAUUUUUUUAAUUAACACAUAAAAAAUAGAGUAAUAAAUAUGUUGAGUCUUCUGAUUAAUUACUACGUACUUCCAUAAACAAAUCUCAACAAACAACAGCACCUCAUAAUGAGUGACAAGUCAAAUGGAUUAAAUUCCAUAUACACACAAAACCAGAAAAAAAAAAUCAAAUAACUUGAUAUAACCAAAAAAAAAGAAAGGUUAAAAGCUGAUGAUGAUCAAGCCCAAAUAGCAAGAGCAGACAUCAUCCCAGCUCCAAGAAACAAAAAGCAAUAAGAAACAACUUGAAGUUUGAAAUUUACACUCAUCUUCUUGCUCAAGAAGUCAGCAGCGAUCAAAUCCACAAGCGCCAUGUACACAAGUAUCCCCGCAGAGAGAGAGUCGAGCACUCCUUCAGCCACCAAUGCCGCAACACUGUAGGAAUUGUAGGAUGAGGCAAUGGCCGUUCCCACGGCCACACCGAUGGGAGUGGUGAUGGCGAAGAAGAAAGCCAUCAUGGCAGACCCACGAGGAGUUAGUCUUGCCUCUGCAACGCAUCCACCGAGAGCGAAACCUUCGAAGAAUUGGUGGAAGGAAAGAGCGACAAGGAGCGGACGUAUGGUGCAUGGGCUAUGUGACACUCCAAGUGAUAUUCCUAUUAUUAUUGAAUGUGAUACUAUUCCCAUUUCUAGUAUCUGAAAUAUAUAUAAGAAAAUCAGAGUAUCAUCAAUUAAUUUAUGUGCAACGAAUAUAAAAAUAUAUUUUAUAAACGGAAUCGUUUUACUAGGUCACAUAUGACACAAGAACACGUCACAAUACCACAACCAAAAACACUUAUGACUAAUAUACGAUCGCUAUUUUGUAAUCAACGAUAAAAAAAAUGACAAUAUAUACUAUUAGCUAGAAAACAGGAAAAACUAAAUUAUUAAGUUAAUGUAAUGGUACAAUACAAAAUAUCCAUCACUCGAUGCACUUGUAUACCUAAAAUGGACUAGAUUUUUCAUUUUCGAUUAACAUUACAAUUGUCUAACACAGAGCUGUUAUUUCAUUAAAACAAAGCUACCUAUAUGUUACUCCAGCUGUUAAUUAUCAUGAAAGUCAUGUACAGUUAUUAGAAUGCCAUUUAUUUACUUAUUUUAUUUUAAGAGACACUUUUAGCUGCAUUGUUUUGUGUAUAAAUAAAGUCAAAUACUUGUUUUUUUCUUUAAAAAAUCAAUAAUAAGAUCUCGAAAGCAAAAGUCAGAGCUUACUGAAAAUAAAGUCAAAGUCAGAAAUAUCAAAAGAAGAGAAAAAAGAAGCCUUAACCUGAGAAACAACAACGUGCCUUACACCACUGUCCAAGCCAACGUCCCCGUGGCCGUGUCCAUGACCGGAAACAGCGCUUCUCUUCGCGAGAGCCUCAAAACCUUCGGCACCCAUGGAGAGGCUGUGACGGUGGUGGUCCGCGUGAGCACGCAUCCCCACGAUAUGCAACGCUCCUCCAUCUUCGUCCCUCAGUAAACCCGAUUCAAGACCAGGAUCCGAAAGAAUGGAACCGUGUUGACCAAGCGACUCGACGGACCGGCUCAUCAUCUUCUCCUGCUUACUCUCGUAAUAUCCCGUGAUCAUGAAAUCCGCGAGCAGAGUGAGAAGCGCCGCGACCAUGGCGAAGAACUCUGGGAAAGGAAACAUUUUCCAGGGGAACUCCGGAAGACACGGGUCGGACAAAGCCUCAGAGCCGCCGGAGAGCAUGUGAACGAACCCUGUUGCGAGGAUCACUCCUGCUGCGAACGCUUUCGCUCCCCUCAUCAAGCCACCGUUCGACGGGAGGAGGGUUCCUCCUACAAGGGGAAUUGAGACCCCGGCGGCUCCGGCGACAAGGAUCGAAGCCAUAGCUGCAAACUUGAGUGUGAGAGCAGCCGCGUCAUCCCGACACGGGUCUGACUCUCCCGAGUCACAACUGGUUGUGAACGACUCUGUUUUGCAGUUUAAAAAAAAAACAAAAAGUUAUAAUAAUGAAGGAAUCAAGAGCAAAAACGAAGUAACUCUCCAAGGUUUUAAGUGACAUUUUAAGUUUUGAAGUAAUGAAAAGAGGACAGAGACUAUAUAUCUAUCAGAAAGCAGCAAAGUGAAGUGAGAAUACCUGUCAAUCCAGAGGAUAAUGGUCGAAGGAGCUGCCAGAAAUCCUGAAAACAUUUAGAGGCAAAAUGUGAGGAAAAAAAAGGAUUGAAGAAGCCAAGAACUUUGAAAUGGAUGAUGUGGAAGAAGUUUUCAGACCUGUAACACAGACAUUACUGUCUUGGAUGAUCAAACUUGUAGAUUUGUGUGAUUAGUGUAAAGCAACCCAGCUAUUAGGAGUUAUUAUUAUGGAGUUAUCUGUUUUUAUAAAGAAAGUUUAGGAGAAUGUCAAUCAGUGAUAGUAGUUUGUGUGUGCGUGCACGUACGUUUUUUACAAACUCACAAGUGGUUCACGAGCAUCAGAUGAGCAUACAAUGUCGUCAUUUUACCCACACCCACUCGCAUUAAAAAGCAUAUAUACUACUACAUUUACAAGAUCAAUUUUGGUCGCUAUUUAUCUAGUAUAGGCACAAUAACCCAUCAGAUGUAUAACAAAUAUAGAAGAAGAUGAGAAGUAGUAGGAGGAUGUUUUUCACAUUUUUGNNNNNNNNNNNNNNNNNNNNNNNNNNNNNNNNNNNNNNNNNNNNNNNNNNNNNNNNNNNNNNNNNNNNNNNNNNNNNNNNNNNNNNNNNNNNNNNNNNNNNNNNNNNNNNNNNNNNNNNNNNNNNNNNNNNNNNNNNNNNNNNNNNNNNNNNNNNNNNNNNNNNNNNNNNNNNNNNNNNNNNNNNNNNNNNNNNNNNNNNNNNNNNNNNNNNNNNNNNNNNNNNNNNNNNNNNNNNNNNNNNNNNNNNNNNNNNNNNNNNNNNNNNNNNNNNNNNNNNNNNNNNNNNNNNNNNNNNNNNNNNNNNNNNNNNNNNNNNNNNNNNNNNNNNNNNNNNNNNNNNNNNNNNNNNNNNNNACAGUAUUAGGCCGAAGAAUUCGGGAAGGGAAUAAAUAAGAAUAUGCUUUGGGCAUAUCUAAUGGAUUUAUUAUCUGACUCAUCCCAUCGUCUCCGGGGAGAAGAGACGAGACGAGUAAGUUCACUUCAAUUCAAAGUCUUGAAGCUUCUUCUUCCAACUCUCUCUCUCGGUCCUCUGUCCCUAAACAAGAUUCCAAAAGCGUAAGCAAUCAUCCUCUCUUAUCUCAUCUACUAUUUGAUUUCUCCCUUUUAUAACUUGACUACUUUUCGUCUAGAAGAAACUCUGAAAAUGGUUGGAAAUCAAAAUAUUUCACAGAGUUUCAGUUGGGUUUUUGUCUAAAUUUCAUGUUAGCGCCCAUCAAUGUGCGUCUUUUCUUAAUGUAUGCGACUCUGUUUACUUAUUGCUAAAGCAUAUUGUUUUGCUGAAUCUCCUCUUAUUACUUCACUUGAUGCAAUUUUCAGUCCUGGGAAGAGCUGGUUAGCCUGGUUUAGUGUGUUUGACGAGAAAGUUUCGAUUUUUAUUGAUUUAGUUUUUGGAAUUUGAUUUCGGUUUUUAAAUUAAAAAAAAAUCGAGAAAUUGGUAGAAUCCUUUUCUAGUCAUGACAUUCUCUCCUAGAUAUGUCCUGCUCUGCUGAACCAAGUUUUCUUAAUUUUUAAGUUGAUUUUGUUUUUGCAGGUGAGUGUGUUUGAUAGAAUCAAGAACAAACCUUUAAAAUGGCGCAUCUACUUUCAGCUUCAUGCCCUUCAGUUAUAUCACUUAACAGCAGCAGCAGCAGCAAGAGUUCCCUUUUAGGCCAAACCUUCUUCAAACCUCAAUGUUUUUCAAGAUCUUCUCUCAAAGGACUUCUCUUCCAAGAGAAGAAACUGAGAAGAAGCUCCGUUUUCCGAGCUACUGCUGUGCCUAUAAGCCAACAAGCACCACCCGAAACAUCAACCAAUGGUUCAUCGUCUAAGCCAAAACGUGUUAUGGUCAUUGGUGGAGAUGGUUACUGCGGUUGGGCUACUGCUCUCCACUUGUCCAAGAAGAACUACGAAGUUUGCAUCGUUGACAACCUUGUAAGGCGGCUUUUCGAUCACCAGCUUGGACUUGAGUCAUUGACUCCUAUAGCCUCAAUUCAUGACCGAAUCAGCAGAUGGAAGGCUUUGACUGGGAAAUCAAUUGAGCUAUUUGUUGGGGAUAUCUGUGAUUUCGAAUUCUUAGCUGAGUCCUUCAAGUCUUUUGAGCCUGAUUCAGUUGUCCACUUCGGGGAACAGAGAUCUGCGCCUUACUCGAUGAUAGACCGGUCCAGAGCCGUCUUUACACAGCACAACAAUGUGAUUGGGACUCUUAAUGUUCUCUUUGCCAUUAAAGAGUUCGGAGAAGAGUGUCAUCUUGUAAAACUCGGGACGAUGGGCGAGUAUGGUACUCCAAAUAUCGACAUUGAGGAAGGUUAUAUAACGAUAACGCACAAUGGUAGAACCGACACUUUGCCAUACCCCAAGCAAGCGAGCUCGUUUUAUCAUCUUAGCAAAGUUCACGAUUCGCACAACAUUGCUUUUACUUGCAAGGCUUGGGGUAUUAGAGCCACUGAUCUCAACCAGGGAGUUGUGUAUGGAGUGAAGACUGAUGAGACAGAGAUGCAUGAGGAACUCCGCAACCGAUUAGAUUACGAUGCUGUGUUUGGUACAGCACUUAACCGGUUCUGUGUGCAGGCUGCAGUUGGUCAUCCACUUACUGUUUACGGUAAAGGUGGUCAGGUAAAUGACUCUUUUAGUUGUUUUGAAAUAUAGUUUUUAAUCGAAAAGGUGAGGUUUUAAUGCAGUUUUUCUUUCUUCUCAUUGCAGACAAGAGGCUACCUCGAUAUAAGGGACACGGUUCAAUGUGUUGAGAUAGCUAUAGCUAACCCAGCAAAAGCUGGUGAGUUCCGGGUCUUCAACCAAUUCACAGAACAGUUUUCAGUGAAUGAACUGGCUUCCCUCGUCACUAAAGCGGGUUCAAAGCUGGGGCUGGACGUGAAGAAGAUGACGGUGCCAAACCCGAGAGUGGAGGCGGAAGAACAUUACUACAAUGCAAAGCACACAAAGCUGAUGGAACUUGGACUAGAGCCUCACUAUCUAUCAGAGUCACUUCUUGAUUCGUUGCUCAACUUUGCAGUUCAAUUUAAAGAUCGUGUGGACACGAAACAAAUCAUGCCAAGUGUUUCUUGGAAGAAGAUUGGCGUCAAGACCAAGUCCAUGACAGGGUAAAGUGGUGAUCAAAUAUAGAACACCUAAGGGCUAAGGCAGAUGAUAGAGAUUAUUAUGGGAGAGAUGUGUUGUUUGUUAAUCUUCAAACUUCAUUUGUGCAAAAGACUUGUUAGCUUUAAGUGGUUUUACAUUGUGCAGGUUUUCUAAUGUUAGAUGGUAAUUUCGAUAAAAUUUCUACAGUGUUUGAAAAAGGAUACAUAAAGUAAACCAAGAAUCAAAUGUGUUACGAUCGAUCAUUGUAGAGAAUCUAACGAGCUUUUCAGUAAAUACUUAUCGUACACGAAUAAAACUGUAAUUGUUUUUUUUGUAAGAUAUGAUUUUUAAUGUAGCGUAUGCUUUUAGAUCAAUCAACUGGUUUAAGAUGAAAGUAAAGUUAUAUAGUUGUACGUAUUACAUUUCUUUUGGUGUAUAUUUAAAUAUAGGAGAGUGGGGUGUUGGGGGUGGGUCUUCUUCAUCGUUGGCAAUAAUUAUUUUCUAAUGUGAGAAAAUGUCUUUUCCAAAUACGAAGGAAACUUGUGGGGUCAAAUUCAAAGGAAUCGAGUGGGUUUUUUUUAUUUAUUUUUUGUAUAAUUUAUAAUUUUUUAGCCCUAAUUAAUUAUUCUUUCUUCAAAAUUCAUUAUCUCACUUUUAGUAUACUAAUUAUUUUUUUCUUAUGUAACAAUAAAACGAUCUGAGUGCAACAUUAUCAAAAGGAUCUUGCUCUUAAGAUUUACUCGUUAAAGCAAGAUACUUUUCUAUUUAAAUCUUAGAGGUAAAAUCCCCUUAAUAAUAUUAGUCUUAUAUUUUAUGUUUAAGAAAACCCAUUUCUUUGUUUGACGAAAAACCUCAUAGUUACCUUAUUUUGUAACAAUGAUCACAUAAUUAAUAAGUCAUCCAUAGUAAACACUAUUCAGUUGAAGUUUAACUGAAAACAAAACAGUAACUAGUGUUUAAGUAUUAAAAGCGUGGGAGCUUUUGUUUUGGUGAAGAGGCACUCAGUUUUUUUUCUUUUUUCUUUUUUCUCUGUAUUUUAUUGCAAAUAUUUAAAGGGAUAUCAUUAAAACAUUUGAUGGAGAGAUUGUUGGUUAUGAUUGAUGAGGUCAUCUUCGCCAUCAGUAUUCAUCAACUUGUCAAUUAAAUAUAUAUGCACAAAAAAAAGCAUAACCUUAAUUUUGAAGACAUGUCACAUGAUCUCACACAUACAUCUUAAAUCCCACAACUACCAUAUUAUUCUUGUAUAGGUCGGCAAUUCUUUUUCUUUUCUUUCUUUUUUCUAAAAAACUUUGGAUGUAUAAAUUUAUUUGCUUACACACUUUACAGCAUGGUUUUGUAAUUUGAAAUUCUAAAGUUUAUUUGUGAAAGUUAUCCGUACCCUUAGUUAAUGAUAAUUUCGGUUAAAAAUAAUAAUUUUAUGAUUAGGUAUGUAUAUGGUCUUAUCAGAUUAAACCUUUUGUAUGUGUACUUCCAUAUAUUCAUCAGAAUCUUCUUUUCACAGAACCCAAAACAUUACAAAUAAAAUAACACAGACUAUGUUCAGGCCUUAUGUAUGUGUACUUGUAGGACUUUUGUGGACGAGAUUGGAAAGAUAACAAUGCAUGCUCAAAUUCUGCCUUUAUAGCCGAUAUAUAAGUUAGUCAGUCGUGUGUGCUUGUGGUCACAAGUGACUAGGCCACGUGUACUCGCAUGGCUUUUGUGGUACAAAAUGGUGCAUUGCAUCAUAUAUAUCAUAUAUAUGUUUGUUCGCAAGCAUGUAUGAUUGAUUGGUUACAGCUUUUUGUACUAAUAAAUAAAAGAUGUGGGAGUUUGUUGGAUAAUAGAAUAACUUAGUGUUUGUGUCUAGUGACUAGUGCGAACUGAAAAGGAAUUGACGGUCUUCGUUAAAAUGAUUAGUUGUUGAACGCAUGUAUAUAUUAUAUGUACUUACGUAGAUAUGCUACGGACUGAUUUGGUCUCCUGACGUGAAAGAGAGACUAGUGAUUUAUCAUGUGUUGUUAUAUAUUUGGAAUCUUUGAGGAGAUUGAAUCAGAGUAUUUGUAAACACACAAAAAUGUGACCAUAUUAUGUAGUCUAGUGGUAGAUUAAUAUCUAUCAUUUAAGCAUCGCACAGAAGACAGUUAUUGGUGUAGCAACCAAACCAUCCGAAGCUCUUGAUCUUGGUAAAAAUAGCAGUGUGUGUGUGUGUG
rnacentral:lncRNA from 1 species